UGGGGGAUCGUCUAGCGGUAGGACAACGGUCUCUGACACCGUUUACCCUGGUUCGAAUCCAGGUCCCCCAGCCA
rnacentral:tRNA from 1 species